UUGGAGGGCAAGUCUGGUGCCAGCAGCCGCGGUAAUUCCAGCGCCAAUAGCGUAUAUUAAAGUUGUUGCAGUUAAAAAGCUCGUAGUUGAAUUUCGGGGUCAGCAGGUCGGUCGUGCCUACGGUAUGCACUGGCCUUGCUGAUUCCUCCCUCUUGAUGAGCCGUAAUGUCAUUAAUUUGGUGUUGCGGGGAAUCAGGACUGUUACUUUGAAAAAAUUAGAGUGUUUAAAGCAGGCAUGCGCUUGAAUACAUUAGCAUGGAAUAAUGAAAUAGGACGUUUGAUCCUAUUUUGUUGGUUUCUAGGAUUGACGUAAUGAUUAAUAGGGAUAGUUGGGGGCAUUAGUAUUCAAUUGUCAGAGGUGAAAUUCUUGGAUUUAUUGAAGACUAACUACUGCCAAAGCAUUCGCCAAGGAUGUUUUCAUUAAUCAAGAACGAAAGUUAGGGGAUCGAAGACGAUCAGAUACCGUCGUAGUCUUAACCAUAAACUAUGCNGACNAGGGAUCGGAUGAUGUUAAUUUUUUAAUGACUCAUUCGGCGCCUUACGGGAAACCAAAGUGUUUGGGUUC
rnacentral:rRNA from 1 species